rnacentral:rRNA from 1 species
GGCUCAGAUUGAACGCUGGCGGCAGGCCUAACACAUGCAAGUCGAGCGGUAGCACAGAGAGCUUGCUCUCGGGUGACGAGCGGCGGACGGGUGAGUAAUGUCUGGGAAACUGCCUGAUGGAGGGGGAUAACUACUGGAAACGGUAGCUAAUACCGCAUAACGUCGCAAGACCAAAGUGGGGGACCUUCGGGCCUCAUGCCAUCAGAUGUGCCCAGAUGGGAUUAGCUAGUAGGUGGGGUAAUGGCUCACCUAGGCGACGAUCCCUAGCUGGUCUGAGAGGAUGACCAGCCACACUGGAACUGAGACACGGUCCAGACUCCUACGGGAGGCAGCAGUGGGGAAUAUUGCACAAUGGGCGCAAGCCUGAUGCAGCCAUGCCGCGUGUAUGAAGAAGGCCUUCGGGUUGUAAAGUACUUUCAGCGAGGAGGAAGGCGUUAAGGUUAAUAACCUUGGCGAUUGACGUUACUCGCAGAAGAAGCACCGGCUAACUCCGUGCCAGCAGCCGCGGUAAUACGGAGGGUGCAAGCGUUAAUCGGAAUUACUGGGCGUAAAGCGCACGCAGGCGGUCUGUCAAGUCGGAUGUGAAAUCCCCGGGCUCAACCUGGGAACUGCAUUCGAAACUGGCAGGCUAGAGUCUUGUAGAGGGGGGUAGAAUUCCAGGUGUAGCGGUGAAAUGCGUAGAGAUCUGGAGGAAUACCGGUGGCGAAGGCGGCCCCCUGGACAAAGACUGACGCUCAGGUGCGAAAGCGUGGGGAGCAAACAGGAUUAGAUACCCUGGUAGUCCACGCCGUAAACGAUGUCGACUUGGAGGUUGUGCCCUUGAGGCGUGGCUUCCGGAGCUAACGCGUUAAGUCGACCGCCUGGGGAGUACGGCCGCAAGGUUAAAACUCAAAUGAAUUGACGGGGGCCCGCACAAGCGGUGGAGCAUGUGGUUUAAUUCGAUGCAACGCGAAGAACCUUACCUACUCUUGACAUCCAGAGAACUUAGCAGAGAUGCUUUGGUGCCUUCGGGAACUCUGAGACAGGUGCUGCAUGGCUGUCGUCAGCUCGUGUUGUGAAAUGUUGGGUUAAGUCCCGCAACGAGCGCAACCCUUAUCCUUUGUUGCCAGCGGUCCGGCCGGGAACUCAAAGGAGACUGCCAGUGAUAAACUGGAGGAAGGUGGGGAUGACGUCAAGUCAUCAUGGCCCUUACGAGUAGGGCUACACACGUGCUACAAUGGCAUAUACAAAGAGAAGCGACCUCGCGAGAGCAAGCGGACCUCAUAAAGUAUGUCGUAGUCCGGAUUGGAGUCUGCAACUCGACUCCAUGAAGUCGGAAUCGCUAGUAAUCGUAGAUCAGAAUGCUACGGUGAAUACGUUCCCGGGCCUUGUACACACCGCCCGUCACACCAUGGGAGUGGGUUGCAAAAGAAGUAGGUAGCUUAACCUUCGGGAGGGCGCUUACCACUUUGUGAUUCAUGACUGGGGUGAAUCU